GCCUCCAUAGCUCAGUGGUUAGAGCUUCCAACCGGCACCUGGAAGGUUCAUGGGGGUUGAUUCCCGUUGGGGGGCU
rnacentral:tRNA from 1 species